AUUGAACGCUGGCGGCAGGCCUAACACAUGCAAGUCGAGCGGAUGAAGGGAGCUUGCUCCUGGAUUCAGCGGCGGACGGGUGAGUAAUGCCUAGGAAUCUGCCUGGUAGUGGGGGAUAACGUCCGGAAACGGGUGCUAAUACCGCAUACGUCCUGAGGGAGAAAGUGGGGGAUCUUCGGACCUCACGCUAUCAGAUGAGCCUAGGUCGGAUUAGCUAGUUGGUGGGGUAAAGGCCUACCAAGGCGACGAUCCGUAACUGGUCUGAGAGGAUGAUCAGUCACACUGGAACUGAGACACGGUCCAGACUCCUACGGGAGGCAGCAGUGGGGAAUAUUGGACAAUGGGCGAAAGCCUGAUCCAGCCAUGCCGCGUGUGUGAAGAAGGUCUUCGGAUUGUAAAGCACUUUAAGUUGGGAGGAAGGGCAGUAAGUUAAUACCUUGCUGUUUUGACGUUACCAACAGAAUAAGCACCGGCUAACUUCGU
rnacentral:rRNA from 1 species